rfam:Mesorhizobium loti strain TFLA 01-765 contig_3, whole genome shotgun sequence.
AGGUCUGGCGGACCAGCGGAUCGGAGAAGUCCGACAGGCGGAACGGAUCGAAAUAGCCGCCCGGAUUGGCCGUCAUCCAGGCAUAGAUGCGGCUCGAUCCCAACCACUGCAGGAAGAGAUAGCAGGCUUCCGGAUUCUUGGACUGCGCCGAGACCGAAGCCGACAGGUUGAGCCACAACACAGAGCGACUGACCAGCUUGCCGUCGAUCUCGCGACCAGGCGGCAGCAU